rnacentral:sRNA from 1 species
UGGAGCUUGAGCAGGAGCUGGCUGAGCUGCACCAGAAGGACUCAGCCCUGCUCUUCUCCUCCUGCUUUGUGGCCAAUGACUCUACUCUCUUCACCUUGGCCAAGAUCCUGCCAGGGUGCGAGAUUUACUCAGACGCAGGCAACCAUGCUUCCAUGAUCCAAGGUAUCCGUAACAGUGGAGCAGCCAAGUUUGUCUUUAGGCACAAUGACCCUGACCACCUAAAGAAACUUCUAGAGAAGUCCAACCCUAAGAUACCCAAAAUUGUGGCCUUUGAGACUGUCCACUCCAUGGAUGGUGCCAUCUGUCCCCUCGAGGAGUUGUGUGAUGUGUCCCACCAGUAUGGGGCCCUGACCUUCGUGGAUGAGGUCCAUGCUGUAGGACUGUAUGGGUCCCGGGGCGCUGGGAUUGGGGAGCGUGAUGGAAUUAUGCAUAAGAUUGACAUCAUCUCUGGAACUCUUGGCAAGGCCUUUGGCUGUGUGGGCGGCUACAUCGCCAGCACCCGUGACUUGGUGGACAUGGUGCGCUCCUAUGCUGCAGGCUUCAUCUUUACCACUUCUCUGCCCCCCAUGGUGCUCUCUGGAGCUCUAGAAUCUGUGCGGCUGCUCAAGGGAGAGGAGGGCCAAGCCCUGAGGCGAGCCCACCAGCGCAAUGUCAAGCACAUGCGCCAGCUACUCAUGGACAGGGGCCUUCCUGUCAUCCCCUGCCCCAGCCACAUCAUCCCCAUCCGGAGAAGCUGCUGCUGGCUUGGACUGAGGUGGGCCUGCCCCUCCAGGAUGUGUCUGUGGCUGCCUGCAAUUUCUGUCGCCGUCCUGUACACUUUGAGCUCAUGAGUGAGUGGGAACGUUCCUACUUUGGGAACAUGGGGCCCCAGUAUGUCACCACCUAUGCCUGAGAAGCCAGCUGCCUAGGAUUCACACCCCACCUGCACUUCACUUAGGUCCAGGCCUCCUCCUGUCUUC